CCCUUAGAUGUUCUGGGCCGCACGCGUGCUACACUGAGUGGAUCAGCGGGUCAGGUUGCGCGAAAGCGUUUCCUAAUCUUUAAAUCCGCUCGUGAUGGGGAUUGACGGUUGCAAUUUUCUGUCAUGAACGAGGAAUACCUUGUAAGCGCGGGUCAUCAUCCCGCGCUGAAUACGUCCCUGCCCUUUGUACACACCGCCCGUCGCUCCUACCGAUUGAAUGGUCCGGUGAAGCCUCCGGAUUGGCGCGCACCUCGGUGCCGCCGAGAAGUUGGCUAAACCUUACCAUUUAGAGGAAGGUGAAGUCGUAACA
rnacentral:rRNA from 1 species